UGCCGUUUUGACGAAAAGUGUUUACUAUCGAGUUAGCUAGAGAGAAAAACCUCUUUUCGUCUUUUGGUAUUCAAAUUGAAAUGUUUUU
ensembl:ncRNA C30B5.12 ncRNA